UUAAAGAAUAUUCCGCAAUGGACGAAAGUCUGACGGAGCGACGCCGCGUGGAUGAAGAAUGCCGAAAGGUUGUAAAAUCCUUUUAAGCCUGAUGAAUAAGUACAAUAGGGAAUGAUUGUGCGGUGACCGUAGGGCUUGAAUAAGCACCGGCUAAUUACGUGCCAGCAGCCGCGGUAACACGUAAGGUGCGAGCGUUGUUCGGAAUUAUUGGGCGUAAAGGGCAUGUAGGCGAAUAGGCAAGCUUGGUGUGAAAUGUUACAGCUUAACUGUGAGACAGCAUUGAGAACUGCAGAUCUUGAAUUACUGAAGGGUAACCAGAAUUCCACGUGUAGGGGUGAAAUCUGUAGAUAUGUGGAAGAAUACCAAUGGCGAAGGCAGGUUACCGGCAGAUAAUUGACGCUGAGGUGCGAAAGUGCGGGGAGCGAACAGGAUUAGAUACCCUGGUAGUCCGCACCGUAACGAUGUACACUAGGUGUCUGGCAUAACAGCUGGGUGCCAAAGCAAACGUGAUAAGUGUACCGCCUGGGGAGUAUGCCCGCAAGGGUG
rnacentral:rRNA from 1 species